GAGCGCGCAGUGGGUUUUUAACGAACGUUUUCGCCUUUCUUAACCCUUCUGACAACAGUGUAAAGCGUUUACUCUCGGAGUUGGCUUUUAUCUCACGUGUCAUGGCAUCAGGAAUGGCAUCAGAACAUCCUUCUGAAAAGUUCCAAUUAAAAUAGGAAUCCUAAAUAAUCCAGGACCCACUGUUGGAGCAUACUCUCUCAGUUGUGUUGAGAGACUUCCCUGCUGGUAUUUUAGAGAUACAGCUGAAGCCAGACAGAUCAAGCUGCUUCUCAUUCUUAUCCCAAGAAGCUGGCUGACUGCAGGGCCUCCGGACUCUGUCAGGGCCCUCUGUUGCUGGAGCUGUGGUCCCGGGGCAGCUUUCCUCCACACGAUGGUUUGCUAUGAAGGCCUUGUCCAUGGGGCUGCUGCACAUCCUCCAGGACCUGGGAUCCUCUGCCUCUAGCACUUA